ensembl:lncRNA
ACACUGUGCAAGAAGGAGCUGGGGAGUAAGAUCUGGAUUUAGGACAUGUCUUUUCUCAUGAGCAGCAGUGUGACAAAAGAGCUCUGGAAAUGGAGGUGAUGGUGGCAAAAUAGGUGAGAGAGAACUGUGGAGGACUGACUCAGACAAGUGCCAGUACUCAGCUUUCAAGGUUUGCCUAAGUAUUCUUCCUUACGAAGAGGAUUUUUUAAAGAAAUGAGUUUUCUUUAGAGGCACGACCAAAUCAUACAACAGGACUAACGGUCUUUAAGUUAUAAGCAGAAAACUACAAACAGUGAUACUGGCAAAGCCUCACGUACAAAUCUACAACUGUUUGAAAACUGAAGACAGAAGAAACCUCAUCAAAUAUGUUGUGUAAAUGCUGUUCUCAGACAAGGUAUUUGGUAGAUAAGUUGUGUUUUUUUUUUUUUUUUUUUUUUUUCCUGUUUUUGCUUUUAAAAUAAUAGUGGAAACACUUGAAAACAUUUGGAAGUUUUCCAAAACAUAACCAGGACAUUUUGGAACUGAAAUGGGACAGUAAAAUGUGGUUCUUCUAAAAACAAGGGAUAAAAAUACACUUUCAAGUUGUUUGAAAGAGAAAUCACCUAGGAAGUUGUGGUUUUGUCGAGGGGAAUAUUGCAAUUUUUCUUAACCACAGUCAUGCUGGAAAUAGUAUUUUUUCUAUGGCAGUAAAAAAUCACCUUCAACAGAAUUCCUCAGAAGUGUUUUAACAUAGUGAAAACUAGUUUUGCUAAAGAUAACAAUGAUAAAAUCAAAUAUUUAAAAUUUAGUUUUGAAUAUUUGAGUCUGAUCCAGAAAUAUAUGAAUAAACACAGAAGUAUUUUUUUACCACUUUCAAUUAAAACGCUGUUUGUAUUAAACUUAUAUUUUAAAAAAAUCUUAGUAACUUUUAACAACUAGUUUUGCUUUAUCUUCUAAGUAAAUAAAUAAGAGAAUUAGUGUAACUGAUGGUAUGGAGUUCUAUAAAAGAUUUUAUUGGCUUGACUUUGAUAUGACUAGUUUAUUUCAUUAAAGCUUAGCCACUAAAUAGAAUUUUCCUACAGAAAUAACAUUGGACUUUAAACUUCUUGUUGUCUAUGUUACUUGCUUUCUGAUAAAUUAUUUCUGAAAGGUUUCAGAGCCUAUGUUUUUAACUGGUUUUCAUUUUUUCCAUCUUUAUUCCUGCCAAAAGUAGACAGUGAUUAUGAGCUGAUCUGUACUCCCUGCAGAGGGCAAGAAAAUUAUAACCAAGGCAUGGCACAGUGACCUGAGCUUUCUGUAAGUUACAGUGUGAACUAAAUAUAUCAGAUGCACAAUUAAAAAUUAACUUUUUUUUUUUUUUUUUUUGAAAGGAAAUAUUGCCUAACUAUUUCUGCUAGUGCUAUCCUGGCUUUAGCUUCCAUGUAAACUCCCCUUCACAUUACACACCGAAAUAAAGAAAGAAAAUGACAGUGGUUGCCAUCUUCCUGCAAGAAUUUACUCAGAGCUCACUAGAUAACAGAAUUUGCUCUCCCCACCACCUAAGUCUUUCAGCUCCAUUCAGAAAAGGACUCUAGUUUUACUGGUCUCAUCAAGUUGUUUGGACCACUGGGAAUACUUCUGUGGGAUGCUACUUUGGACAUUUCAUUUGCAAACACUUAUGGUGGCAUGCCUUUCCCUUUCUUUUUCCCUUUUUCCUUUCUCUUUUCUCCUUCCUCCUUUCUCCUUUUUUCCUUUUUCCUUCUUUUUCCUUUUUCCAUCUUUUUCCUUCUUUUUCCUUCUUUUUCCUUCUUUUUCCUUCUUUUUCCUUCUUUUUCCUUCUUUUUCCUUUCUCCUUCUUUUUCCUUUCUCCUUCUUCCUUCUUCCUUUCAAUUUUUUGAGAAGACGUAAUUAGCUGCCCCUAUGUCACAGUCAGUUCCAGCUGGCUCCAAAAUUGCUUUUAUGAGAAGACGCCAGUUCCAGUUGUCUCUAAAAUGGUAAAAGG